rnacentral:rRNA from 1 species
GGGGAAUUUUGGACAAUGGGGGCAACCCUGAUCCAGCCAUGCCGCGGGAGUGAAAAAGGUCUUCGCGUGGUAAAGCUCUUUCGGCCCGGAAGAGAACGUGCAGGCUAAUCCCUGGAUUGGAUGACGGAACGGGAAUAAGAAGCACGGGUGACUCACGUGCCAGCACACGCGGUAAUAGUAGGGUGCGAGCGUUAAUCGGAAUACUGGGCGUAAAGCGUGCGCAGGCGGUUUUGUAAGACAGGCGUGAAAUCCCCGGGCUCAACCUGGGAACUGCGCUUGUGACUGCAAGACUAGAGUACGGCAGAGGGGGGUGGAAUUCCACGUGUAGCAGUGAAAUGCGUAGAGAUGUGGAGGAACACCAAUGGCGAAGGCAACCCCCUGGGUCGAUACUGACGCUCAUGCACGAAAGCGUGGGGAGCAAACA